CCACCACUAAGGCAGCAUCUCUUGAAGACUGUUCCCCAGUGGAGACUGCCUCAGCUUUCCAGUCAAGUCAUCAAUGUUGGCAUCACUGAACCCAUAAGAUAUGGUGGUGGUAGUAGAGUUUCGCUGGGAUCUGCUGGACCUCCAGUUUAUGAUCAGCAAGAGGAAAGCUGGAUUCUGACAUGAGCAAGUACGUUGGUUUGCUGAGCUGUUCA